rnacentral:rRNA from 1 species
CCCUUAGAUGUCCUGGGCUGCACGCGCGCUACACUGAGUGUCUGAGAUACGAGUCUGCCUGGUCCGGCAAGGUCUAGGUAAUCGCUAAAAGACACAUCAUGCUUGGGAUAGAUUAUUGCAAAUAUUAAUCUUGAACGAGGAAUUCCUAGUAAGCGCAAGUCAACAGCUUGCGUUGAUUACGUCCCUGCCCUUUGUACACACCGCCCGUCGCUACUACUGAUUGGAUGUUUAAGCGAGGUUCUCGAACUGCUAGCGACUUAGCUUCGGUGAGGUCGCAGUGUGGGAAGUGAACCUAGCUUUGGUGUCUAGAGGAAGUAAAAGUCGUAACA